CCUACGGGAGGCAGCAGUGGGGAAUAUUGCACAAUGGGGGAAACCCUGAUGCAGCAACGCCGCGUGAGUGAAGACGUAUCUCGGUAUGUAAAGCUUCAUCAGCAGGGAAGUAGAUGACGGUAUCUGUAUUAGAAGCCCCGUCUAACUCCGUGCCAGCAGCCGCGGUAAUACGGAGGGGGCGAGCGUUAUCCGGAUUUACUGGGUGUAAAGGGAGUGCAGACGGGAUUGCAAGUCUGGAGUGAAAGCCUGGGGCCCAACCCCGGAACUGCUCUGGAAACUGUGCGGCUAGAGUACUGGAGGGGCAGGCGGAAUUCCUGGUGUAGCGGUGAAAUGCGUAGAUAUUACACAGAACACCGAUUGCGAAGGCAUCUCACGAAUCCGCGAUUGACGCUGAUGCACGAAAGCGUGGGUAUCAAACAGGAUUAGAUACCCUAGUAGUC
rnacentral:rRNA from 1 species